rnacentral:rRNA from 1 species
AUUGAACGCUGGCGGCAUGCCUUACACAUGCAGGUCGAACGGCAGCACGGGAGCAAUCCUGGUGGCGAGUGGCGAACGGGUGAGUAAUAUAUCGGAACGUGCCCAGUCGUGGGGGAUAACGCAGCGAAAGCUGUGCUAAUACCGCAUACGAUCUAAGGAUGAAAGCGGGGGAUCGCAAGACCUCGCGCGAUUGGAGCGGCCGAUAUCAGAUUAGCUAGUUGGUGGGGUAAAGGCCCACCAAGGCGACGAUCUGUAGCUGGUCUGAGAGGACGACCAGCAACACUGGAACUGAGACACGGUCCAGACUCCUACGGGAGGCAGCAGUGGGGAAUUUUGGACAAUGGGCGCAAGCCUGAUCCAGCAAUGCCGUGUGCAGGAUGAAGGCCUUCGGGUUGUAAACUGCUUUUGUACGGAACGAAACGGCCCUUUCUAAUACAGGGGGCUAAUGACGGUACCGUAAGAAUAAGCACCGGCUAACUACGUGCCAGCCCCCGCGGUAAAAC